rnacentral:rRNA from 1 species
AUUGAACGCUGGCGGCAGGCCUAACACAUGCAAGUCGAGCGGAUGAGUGGAGCUUGCUCCAUGAUUCAGCGGCGGACGGGUGAGUAAUGCCUAGGAAUCUGCCUGGUAGUGGGGGAUAACGUUUCGAAAGGAACGCUAAUACCGCAUACGUCCUACGGGAGAAAGUGGGGGAUCUUCGGACCUCACGCUAUCAGAUGAGCCUAGGUCGGAUUAGCUAGUUGGUGGGGUAAUGGCCCACCAAGGCGACGAUCCGUAACUGGUCUGAGAGGAUGAUCAGUCACACUGGAACUGAGACACGGUCCAGACUCCUACGGGAGGCAGCAGUGGGGAAUAUUGGACAAUGGGCGAAAGCCUGAUCCAGCCAUGCCGCGUGUGUGAAGAAGGUCUUCGGAUUGUAAAGCACUUUAAGUUGGGAGGAAGGGCAGUAAGUUAAUACCUUGCUGUUUUGACGUUACCAACAGAAUAAGCACCGGCUAACUUCGUGCCAGCAGCCGCCGCGGUAA